rfam:Parcubacteria (Wolfebacteria) bacterium GW2011_GWC2_39_22 TT41_C0003, whole genome shotgun sequence.
GCCCCUGUAGCUCAGCCCGGUAGAGCACCUGCCUUUUAAGCAGUGUGUCGAUGGUUCAAAUCCAUCCGGGGGCA